AACUCAAAAUAAGCUGACAACAAAGGAACUAGUAAGAUCAGUUUUUAUGAAAUUCGUCAAAAGAAAAAAAUUUUUUCAUUCCAAAACCAAAUUUUAGAAUUGCUACAAAGAUAAUGUGGUUCACGUGAAAAUUUAAAUUGUGUGUUCCUUUGAAAAUUCGCGAUAUAUGUGUUUGUCUUAUAAUCUUAAUAUACAAGUAGAUUGAAACCACAGAAUCGAAGGAUCACUUCUUAUCAAUGAAGGAACACCACCCUACUCCAACCCUUCUCACCAUAAUGGCUUCAAAGUGAGAUCCUAAUCUAUGAAAAUUUUCAAACCCAAUGCAGAUUAACACACGAACCAUGUACUUUGAUAAUUAUUCUUAUCUCACCUCACAAAACAUACACAAGGAUGUGUUCUGUGUCUCACCUAUAGAAAACUGACUAACAAGAGUCCAUAGAUUGAAAAUAAAACUGUAGUAUUAAUAGACAAAUACUAAUGCUCGGUCGAUUCAUGUGAAAAAUAGCCAUUGGUCGCAUUCACCGAACGAAACCGUUGUGCAACUGUGUACAACACUAGCGGAAUCGUCCGGUGACAUAUACGCUACGCACUCAACACGUUCUGAAGCGGACGCCAUAUUUCGGAGAGCAUUUAAUUUGUGUUAGGUAGCAGUAGCGGAAGUGAAAUUUGUUGAAUCGACUGUGUUCUGUGAUCAAACAUCAAAUUGUAACCUUUCUUAGGAGUAUGGAGUGUAGAAGCAUUGUAUAAAUAAUAGGAUAGUAGAACAGUGACAAUUUUAAAACCAUUUGAGGCAGUUUUGCAUGCCAUCUAGUUACUUUUACGCUUGAUCUUCAUAAAAAUGACCCGUAGCUUAGUGCCAACUGAAAUAAAUAGCACUAUUUUCAACAACUAAAUUUUUUGGAAAGAUCCCAACUAAAUGUGAAAUUUUCUUUAUCUUCGAAAUUCGAACCGAAAGUACAUUGUUGCCGAUUUUACUUUUUAUUACGAAAGUGACACUAAUUACCUAUUCGAUAGGAAUCUUUACAAUAGAUAGAUAUGGCGUAUUUUGAAAUAUCAUGUUUCUAAUAAUGUUAUAGCAUGUAUUCAUCUCGAACCGAAAAUAAACUUAAUCUCAAUACUAAUUAUUUGUCACCAAUUUCAAUGUAUAAAAAAAAGAUUUUUGUAAUGAGUUCGUGUAGCACUGGCAAAUGAAACAAAUAAUUUUUCAUUAAUCUAUUAAUCACUUAAAUUUGUAUGUGAUGAAUGUAUUUUUGAAACAUUCAUAUUUUGAUGAUAUCUUGAAGAGGUGAAAAAAUAAGUCCUGGCUAUUUUGUUUGUUUUUUUUUUAACUUUCAGUUGAUUUAUAUGAUUUAUCCAUUUUCCCCUUUCUUCCUGGGAAAAUAUUUUUGAUUUUGUUCCGUUUUCGUACUGUAUUAAUAUAUUUGGUAAAAUCAAAAACAACAACUUGUAAAAAGUUCUAACUAUACUAAUAUUUUAAACGUAACGAGAUGAAAUAUACUAAAUGUAUCAUAAUACAAUAUAGUACUAAUAAUUCAAUUAAUAACUUUGUAGAAUUCUUCAAUUGUGCAAUAUGUCCUUUCUUCAAGAAAUGCCGUCGACAAUAUUCGGAACUUACUAAAUCUAUUUGUUGCUUAUAAUUCUAAAGAUACCUAGAUGAUAAUUUUUUAGCAUGAAGGUUCUAACAGGUCAGAGGUCGGUUGGGCAAUAAACAUCUUAUGGCAUUACCUAAUGCUUGGACUUUCAGUUAAAUUGUAAACAGAUGGAUUUCAAUAUAAAUAGAAUAGGAUGAGUUAAAAUUUUAUAUUUUCAAUAUAAUGUGAAGUUAUGAAGUACAUUAUGAAUAAAUUGAAAUAAAUGAAUGUAAAUAAAAAAAAUGUUAGAUUUUGGCAUAAACGUCAAGAAUCACGGAUUUUUGAUCUGAGGUAAUUGCAUCCUUCAUAUUAGAUAACUAAAUAAAACACUCUAAGUUUUAGUAAAUAAAUUUAUUAGAAAAUAUCGAACAGAAAUAUUGAAUGGAGCAACAAUAAUAACUACAUUUUUUAUGAAAUUGUUGAUAUAAAAUUAUAAUUAUAGAGUGAGCGUUUGAAAAAAUUAUCAGAAACUACAAGUAGGUCGGUCCUGUAUAUAUUCCUUGUGCAUUUUACAGCUACAACAGUUAGUGGGAAAUUCGAAUGGCCAACAAAUUGAGUAAAUUUAUUGUAAUUUUAAAACUUUUUCAAAUUCUCAAAAUGUUUGUUAAAAAGUAUGAUAGUGUUGCUUCGGAAUAUUAUUCACAUUCUAAUAUUUUUGUUUUCUGGAAAUUAUUUUUUUUAUAACCAGUACCCGACCCAUUUGGACUAUGUGUUAUCAGGAAAAUAUAUACAAAGUAGCUCUUUGUUGUUAUUACGUGAAAAUCAAACUAUUCUUGUCUUGAUGAUAUAUUUAUAUUAUAUAUUUUACAUCGUAGCUCAUACAAUACAUUCUACUACAUA